rnacentral:lncRNA from 1 species
GUGACGCGUGACGACAGUCACAACAACAACACGUGCAGGUCCUGCAGAUGAUUUAGUCUUAAAAGCUGUCAGUGUCACUUUGACAGCACAUCUUUCAGCUCACCUGCAAACAAAACCGACACACAGUCUGAUAAAACCGAGGGUCACGCGACUCACCUAAGAAGUGAUGUGUUGUUGGUUGGAAGCAGAGCUCUGGACGUGUGGACAGAUGUUGACUGUAAUGAUGGACAUCUGCUCAUGGACAGUGUGUGCAAAAGUAUAACCGCUGCGGGUCACAGUGCUGGAAGCUCCAGGGGGAGACCGUACUGAUAUCCCCCUUCUUCAGGCGCGCCUUCACACACACUCCUCCAUUCACUCGUAUCGCAGAGACCUGGCUGGGAUCGAACCAGCAACCUCUGAACCGUGAGGCAGCGCUCUUACCUGCGAGCCACAGAUCUCUUACUGGGACACCUGAAGGAACUUAUAUUUGACUGUUUACCUGUGAUUACCCAAUAAAGAAGUUAAAAUAAGCUGGGUAUAUGAUUUUUGGAGGUGGGAUUUGAACUCACAUCUCCAUCACAGUCGCUCACCCUCAAAGAUAGUGUGUUUAUCCACUAACCCAUCAUGGAUUUCAUGCUGUGUUUUAGUGACUUUGUUGGCUGAGUUGGAUUUAAAGUAAGCAAUUGUGGGAUUUGAACUCAGAGCUCCUGAAUUAAAACAAAGAGCUUUAUCUCCUGAUCAACUGAGUCUGUCGAGUCAUUUAGCAUUUCGAACAGGUUUUUAUUGAGAGAUUUGUUCUAAACAAUGAAUAAUGACCAUGAGGUUUGAACCAGGAUUUUCAUGUUUGAGAUUGAAGCCUUCAACCACUGAGCCACAGAAGCAGUGAUGAUAUUUUGUUGCUGUUUUUACAGUCAUUUAAAUUUUAAGUUUAUUAUACUCGAUUGUAAUUCACAAAACUCACCACAACGUGUCUGAGUCUACUCUGAACCAAGACUAACGAACGCCCUCCUGUGGUGUUUUUUGUGCAUUGCUAUUUUAGCUCAUUGUUUGUGUGUGAUUUUGUUCUGUCCUCUUCUACUAAAACAAACUGAAGUGCAAAAAAGUCAGAGGACCUAAAGCAGGCCCUCAUGUGGUGAUUUUUGGGAAUUACACCGCUGCAAAUUGAGUCUAAUGAACUUAAACAGGAAUUUGUACUGUUCUGUCUGUUCAUGUUAAAAUACAUCUAUAAAAAAUCUAACAUUUUUCACGAAUAGCAGAAUGAGAGAAACUGAAGUGCGGUUUUUCAUCCGCUCCACGAGGCGGCGCAAGCGGGUUUCAGCUUCAGUCUGACACCUUCGACUGCGUGACAACACGACGCUCGAGUCACAACAACAACAACACGUGCGGAUCCUCCACGAGGCGGCGCAAACGGGUUCUAGCUUCAGUCUGACACCUUCGACUGCGUGACAACACGACGCUCGAGUCACAACAACAACAACACGUGCGGAUCCUGCAGAUGAGAGCUGUCAAUGUCAGUUUAACAACAUGUUUUUCAGCUAAUCUGCGAAUAAAUCCGACACACGGUCCGAUGAAACGCUGGAAUCGAGUGUGACGCGACUCACCUGUAAGUAACUUAAAGCGCAUUUCUCUUGUUCAGUGACGUGCACGCGCUGUUUAACAGAUGAUUCUGUAGUUGUUGCGUUUCGUUUAUAAUCUCUGAUCGAAUGGCCCUGAUAUUGACUUUGUAAAGUGUAAUAACGAGGGCUCGUGCUGUUUGUCUGUUGAUCGUGCAGCAGCUGUUGUGUGAAGCUCUG